UGCUUAAAACAUAGCGUUAAUGCACUAGAUCCCAUUAGAACUCUAUAGUUAAGUGCACUUGAGCUAGAGUAGUACUAGGAUGGGUGAUCGCCCAGGAAGUCCUAGUAUUUUACAUGC
rnacentral:rRNA from 1 species